rnacentral:rRNA from 1 species
GACGAACGCUGGCGGCGUGCCUAAUACAUGCAAGUCGAACGCUUCUUUCCUCCCGAGUGCUUGCACUCAAUUGGAAAGAGGAGUGGCGGACGGGUGAGUAACACGUGGGUAACCUACCCAUCAGAGGGGGAUAACACUUGGAAACAGGUGCUAAUACCGCAUAACAGUUUAUGCCGCAUGGCAUAAGAGUGAAGGGCGCUUUCGGGUGUCGCUGAUGGAUGGACCCGCGGUGCAUUAGCUAGUUGGUGAGGUAACGGCUCACCAAGGCCACGAUGCAUAGCCGACCUGAGAGGGUGAUCGGCCACACUGGGACUGAGACACGGCCCAGACUCCUACGGGAGGCAGCAGUAGGGAAUCUUCGGCAAUGGACGAAAGUCCGACCGAGCAACGCCGCGUGAGUGAAGAAGGUUUUCGGAUCGUAAAACUCUGUUGUUAGAGAAGAACAAGGACGUUAGUAACUGAACGUCCCCUGACGGUAUCUAACCAGAAAGCCACGGCUAACUACGUG